rnacentral:rRNA from 1 species
AGUGAACGCUGGCGGUAGGCCUAACACAUGCAAGUCGAACGGCAGCACAGUAAGAGCUUGCUCUUACGGGUGGCGAGUGGCGGACGGGUGAGGAAUACAUCGGAAUCUACUUUUUCGUGGGGGAUAACGUAGGGAAACUUACGCUAAUACCGCAUACGACCCACGGGUGAAAGCAGGGGAUCUUCGGACCUUGCGCGAUUGAAUGAGCCGAUGUCGGACUAGCUAGUUGGCGGGGUAAAGGCCCACCAAGGCGACGAUCCGUAGCCGGUCUGAGAGGAUGAUCAGCCACACUGGAACUGAGACACGGUCCAGACUCCUACGGGAGGCAGCAGUGGGGAAUAUUGGACAAUGGGCGCGAGCCUGAUCCAGCCAUACCGCGUGUGUGAAGAAGGCCUUCGGGUUGUAAAGCCCUUUUGUUGGGAAAGAAAAGCAGCAGGUUAAUACCCCGCUGUUCUGACGGUACCCAAAGAAUAAGCACCGGCUAACUUCGUG